UACGUAGGGUGCGAGCGUUGUCCGGAAUUAUUGGGCGUAAAGGGCUCGUAGGCGGUUUGUCGCGUCGGGAGUGAAAAUCCAGGGCUUAGCUCUGGACUGGCUUCCGAUACGGGCAGACUAGAGGUAUGCAGGGGAGAACGGAAUUCCUGGUGUAGCGGUGAAAUGCGCAGAUAUCAGGAGGAACACCGGUGGCGAAGGCGGGUCUCUGGGCCGAUACUGACGCUGAGGAGCGAAAGCGUGGGGAGCGAACAGG
rnacentral:rRNA from 1 species